CGCUGUUUCAAGGGGUGCUGGAAAGGCCGGCUGAGAUAUAGAUCUAAUAAAAUCUAUGACCCUUUAACCUGAUCUGGGUAAUGCCAGCGUAGGGAUGAUGGUAGAGCGUGUU
rnacentral:ncRNA from 2 species